UGUUGCCACGGUGGAAUGAUUUAUGCCAGUGGUCGAUCUAAAUCACAAAAUAAAACGAUUUAUUUUCUUUACAGUUUACAGAGAUCCUUUUGUGAGAAACACCUUGGGCUGAUGGCCAUCUCGAUACUUUCAUUUAACCCUUACUGGGUGAUUUGUCUGUAUUAACAAGCAGAACUCGAUGCUACAAUAGCAAAUGGGGGUGUGUUGUGACAUGGCUAAACACAUCUCUAUAGAACAUAAUGUGUCCAGUUAAGGAACCGGCUUCUGUUGCAAAAUAAGAACCUUUACCUCAUAGAUGGAACAGACUUCUAAGCUUAUUACAGUGUUUUUCAAUCGCUAACAAGCGUUUGUCCAAACAGUUGUCACAUUUUCAAAACUCUAAACACAAUUAACACAGCAUCAGUGUUUUGUGGCCAUACCAUUCACACAUUUCAUGUCGUUUUUACACAAUAUUCAGUCAGUGAACACAUGUCCACAAUGCUUACAUUUUUCUUAACAGACAAGCCAUACUUCCCAACAAAACGAUGGAUUGUUUUAGUAGUAUUUACAAAUGUUAAAACACAAUCCAAUACAGAUACAGUAUAAAAACCUUUGCUUCUGCGAUGAUAUCAGUUCAAAAACAAUAUAUCUCAGCUGAUAAUGAACAAACUAUUGAAUAAUUGACACACAGCUGAUUUAUGUUGGGUAAAUUGGGCCAACAACAGCUGAUUCCAGUCUGGCUUAUUUAAGGAGGACUUUGAGGAGUGAUAUUUUUGGAAAUAGAAACAGAAAAAGACAAACACUGUAAUAGGUGCAGGUCCAGUGAGAGAUGUAGAAGGAGGUGCAGGAAGAGGAGUUCUUUUCUGCAUGGAGGUGGAAGGUUUAUGACCAUCAGCCACAUGACCAGAUGUCCUUCCUUGAAGCCAUGGAUGCUGGCUGCAGGGACAUCACAGUUCAAGAUUGCCAAGGGUGGAUCCGACAUACCAAGCGGUUUUAUCCCAGGUGCAUCGCCUUAGAUGAUGUCAGAUGUGAUGUUGACAAAAACAUGUGGCCAAACCCUGAAGAUCGCAGGGAUUAGAUGCAUACAUUGUUUGCCAUUUUUAGUUCCCCCCCAUUUUCAUCUGGGCUUUUGGCUGUUUUUUUCAGAAUGCUUGUGUGUUUCAUGGAUAUUUUGUUAAAAUAAAAUAAACCCUUUCUGUUCUAUUAUACUGUUUCUACUGUACCUUCUUUGGUAAACAGUUAAGAAAAAAUAACUGUUUUACUUUUUACUGGAAUGCGUUUGAAUGUGAACAUUACUGUACAUGUGCGCAUACGGUUCCAAACCAAUAAAUUUAGUGUAAAUGGUGGAUUGCAUGUUAACUGAAACAUAAAAGUCUAUGCAAUUUUUAUAAUGUCAACAAUAGCCAGAAUUUUGAAACCUGGUGUACUUCGUUUGACUGCAUGUACCUUGUGAAGUGAAAACAAAUGUUAUUCUUUGACAGAAUAAUUUCAUUUUGAGUCAGAUUUCCAGUGUUUUGGUAAAGUUAGUGUGUGCAGAGAAAGAUGUGUUCUGUUUUGAAAUUAAGAGUUAGUAUAUAUUGAACAAAAUUGGUUUUUGAGAAGAAAAUUAUCAAUUUGUGUC
ensembl:lncRNA